AGCAGUCGCCACGGUAAUACAGAGGAUGCAAGCGUUGUUCGGAAUUAUUGGGCGUAAAGGGUGCGUAGGCGGCUUGACAAGUCUUGUGUGAAAUCUAUGGGCUCAACCCAUAGUCUGCACCGAAAACUGCCGGGCUUGAGUAUGGGAGAGGUGAGUGGAAUUUCCGGUGUAGCGGUGAAAUGCGUAGAUAUCGGAAGGAACACCUGUGGCGAAAGCGGCUCACUGGACCAUUACUGACGCUGAGGCGCGAAAGCUAGGGGAGCAAACAGGAUUAGAUACCCGAGUAGUCCCUGUCUCUUAUAC
rnacentral:rRNA from 1 species